AGAGUUUGAUCAUGGCUCAGAUUGAACGCUGGCGGAAUGCUUUACACAUGCAAGUCGAGCGGCAGCGCGGGGCAACCUGGCGGCGAGCGGCGAACGGGUGAGUAAUGCAUCGGAACAUGUCCAUGGAUGGGGGAUAGCCCGGCGAAAGCCGGAUUAAUACCGCAUGAGCCCGAGAGGGGAAAGUGGGGGACCGCAAGGCCUCACGUCGAUGGGUUGGCCGAUGCCCGAUUAGCUAGUUGGUGAGGUAAAGGCUCACCAAGGCGAUGAUCGGUAGCUGGUCUGAGAGGAUGAUCAGCCACACUGGGACUGANACACGGCCCAGACUCCUACGGGAGGCAGCAGUGGGGAAUUUUGGACAAUGGGGGCAACCCUGAUCCAGCCAUUCCGCGUGAGUGAANAAGGCCUUCGGGUUGUAAAGCUCUUUUGUCCGGAACGAAACGGUUGUGGUGAAUAGCCACGGCUACUGACGGUACCGGAAGAAUAAGCACCGGCUAACUACGUGCCAGCAGCCGCGGUAAUACGUAGGGUGCGAGCGUUAAUCGGAAUUACUGGGCGUAAAGCGUGCGCAGGCGGUUUUGUAAGCCAGAUGUGAAAUCCCCGGGCUCAACCUGGGAAUGGCAUUUGGGACUGCAAGGCUCGAGUGCGGCAGAGGAGACUGGAAUUCCUGGUGUAGCAGUGAAAUGCGUAGAUAUCANGAGGAAUACCGAUGGCGAAGGCAGGUCUCUGGGCUGACACUGACGCUCAUGCACGAAAGCGUGNGGAGCAAACAGGAUUAGAUACCCUGGUAGUCCACGCCCUAAACGAUGUCGACUGGUUGUUGGGGGUUUGACACUCUCAGUAACGAAGCUAACGCGUGAAGUCGACCGCCU
rnacentral:rRNA from 1 species